rnacentral:lncRNA from 1 species
GGGACUACUACCAUAUAUCCGAUCUGUCUGAUUCAAAGGUCAUUAAGCAGUGUAUGACUUAUAAAAGCCUCCAAAACAGUUAAAGGCAACAGUGUUAAAGCUGGAAAGAGCUUAUGGAAUCUGCUACACCUGGGCCAGGACCAGAGAUCCAAAGAGCAAGGAGUGCUAAAUCCUGCCAAGAGAGAGACAACGCUUCUCUGCCCGCAACUGUUUCAUCUCGGCACUCAAGGCUCUGCAAACCACUGUGUGGAAACAUUUGACUCAGGGCAGCCCGCGAGAAGGAAGGAGGCAGGAGCGCCUUUGCAGCAUGCGAGCUACAGUGAGCGUGGCCGGGGCUUGGUGACACCCAGUCCCUCCCUUCUCUGCCUCCCGGUCUUGGGAGUCAGUUAAGUGUUAUAAACUCUUAAUCACACCCUUGUUUUCCCAAAUAAAGUGCAGCUAAUAG